GCUGGAAAGCUCAGUCGGUAGGGCAGAAGACUCUUAAUCUCAAGGUUAUAGGUUCAAGCCCCAUAUUGGGCA